AGCGAACGCUGGCGGCAGGCUUAACACAUGCAAGUCGAGCGGGCCCUUCGGGGUCAGCGGCAGACGGGUGAGUAACGCGUGGGAACGUGCCCUUCGGUUCGGAAUAACUCAGGGAAACUUGAGCUAAUACCGGAUACGCCCUUAUGGGGAAAGGCUUGCUGCCGAAGGAUCGGCCCGCGUCUGAUUAGCUAGUUGGUGAGGUUAUCGCUCACCAAGGCGACGAUCAGUAGCUGGUCUGAGAGGAUGAUCAGCCACACUGGGACUGAGACACGGCCCAGACUCCUACGGGAGGCAGCAGUGGGGAAUAUUGGACAAUGGGGGCAACCCUGAUCCAGCCAUGCCGCGUGAGUGAUGACGGCCUUAGGGUUGUAAAGCUCUUUUCUCCGGGACGAUAAUGACGGUACCGGAGGAAUAAGCCCCGGCUAACUUCGUG
rnacentral:rRNA from 1 species